AUGAGUCUAGCGUGUCUCGUAUGCCAUGGCAUGAGCAGCCCUUCACAGUCUUUCAGAAGUUAUUCAGUCUCAAGCUCAGAGGAGGAAAACAGGUGUGGAGCUGCUGUUGCCUGCCUAUCGCGGAAAAUUUUGGCCGCAGGACCUGCUAACUGUGUGGGAACCUCAAAGGUGACACCUGUAAUGGCCACUGGACAAGGCAUUGAGGGUGCUCCUCGCCUUCAACGGAGCCGUGCUGUUUCAAGGGAUCUUGUCAGGGACUGGAACUUCGACGAGAUCGUUGUUGGGAACUAG
rnacentral:rRNA from 1 species